UACGUAGGGGGCUAGCGUUGUCCGGAUUUAUUGGGCGUAAAGAGCGUGUAGGCGGCCAGGUAGGUCUGCUGUGAAAACUCGAGGCUCAACCUCGAGACGCCGAUGGAAACCAUCUGACUAGAGUCCGGAAGAGGAGAGUGGAAUUCCUGGUGUAGCGGUGAAAUGCGCAGAUAUCAGGAAGAACACCCGUGGCUAAGGCGGCUCUCUAGUACGGUACUGACGCUGAGACGCGAAAGCGUGGGGAGCGAACAGG
rnacentral:rRNA from 1 species